rnacentral:rRNA from 1 species
UACGUAGGGUGCAAGCGUUGUCCGGAAUUAUUGGGCGUAAAGAGCUCGUAGGCGGCCUGUUGCGUCCGCUGUGAAAUCCCGGGGCUCAACCCUGGGCGUGCAGUGGAUACGGGCAGGCUGGAGGCAGGCAGGGGAGAACGGAAUUCCCGGUGUGGCGGUGAAAUGCGCAGAUAUCGGGAGGAACACCGGUGGCGAAGGCGGUUCUCUGGGCCUGUGCUGACGCUGAGGAGCGAAAGCGUGGGGAGCGAACAGG